rnacentral:lncRNA from 1 species
UUCCCCUCCCCUGGCUCUCAAUUCCUGCUCUUAUUGGCCAAAAGUUUCCGCCCCCUUGGGGAAGUUGACUUUUCAUUGGUCAGUUUCUGGUCACAUGAUUUUCUUCUCGGGCUGCAAACAAAGGGAAGCCUGCAACAAGUUAAGCUGAAGACCGAAGCAAGAGCUGGUUCAGGUGGCAGCCACAGCAGCCUCAGGGACCUCAGCAACUAUGGCCUCCUGCCCAGACUCUGAUAAUAGCUGGGUGCUUGCUGGCUCCGAGGUAGGAAGAGCGGGCCUGGGAACCAUGGGGGUGGGGUUGGGGGGUGUUUCUGAAGUGCUGGGCUUCUUUCUUGGUGGGUCCUUUUCCUUAGUCCUGAUGGUCACCUACAUCACUUCCUGCCGGCUGUUAGAGGAAUUCCAGUAGCAGGAAGAAGUAGAUCAGGCCCCAGGGGUCAGGUGUUGGCACUUGGACCAUGCCAUGAAGGAAGGGACCAGUUGGGUAAGCUGAGACAAGUAGGGACGGAUUUUGAAUGGAGAGACCAAUGUGAACAAAGGUCCCGAGGCGAUAGUGGGGAACGCCAUGCUGGGGGAGACUGUGGGACACCCAUGGGUGAUGUGGAGAUGUGGGUUGGAGCCAGUGUUGGAGUGAGGUUGGGGACAGAGCCUGGGAACCCCUGGAAGAGACCUGAAGGGCCUGGCUGAGGCCUUCAGGCCUCAUCCUGAUGGGAAAUCAGUGUGGGGCUUUGGGUUAGAGGGAUCAGGACAAUCAUUGUCUCA